CCCGGUGGUGCCUCUUUCUAUUUGAGUUUGAGUUGGGGAUGGUGGACAAUGAGCAAUUCGGAGAUUUAUCGCAGUGCAAUUUGUCAUUUCCACAGACCACCUAUAAUAUUGGCUUACAUUUUUCUUAUUUUUUCUUUGCCUAUAUUAUUGUUUAUUUCCAAGAUUUGAGUUUGUCAUUCAGAAGAGAUGCUUCAUUCAGAGAAUUGAAAUUUCUCAAAUCUUUGUUAAUAGUUGUAUCCCUUGCAGAAGGAUUUAAUUUUCUUGGAUGUCUACUUUUGAGCUUUAAGUUUUCAUGUAUCCAGCAUUACUAGACCAAAAAAAGCGCAGUGUCGUGGAGUAAUUAGGACUGUCUCUGUUCCUUUUUAUUUUAUUUUUUAUGUUGAAUUGACAAGUGGUUUUAAAUAAUGGA
rnacentral:lncRNA from 1 species